rnacentral:snRNA from 2 species
AAUCGCACACAAACAGACUGCCAAACAAAAGCGUCGACGACCCGACGGCCGGGUAAUGUCUUUUUAAAAUUUUCACACCUCCCAAAUUUACCCUACCCGAUUAACCUUUUUCACCCAGUUACCCUACCGACAACCACUAUAUAGGCGGGUGCACCACCCGUGAUUUCUACCUCCCCAACAACGGAGGUCGACAUCGACGUACAUGGCUCUUGCCUUUUACCAGAGCCAUCCGGGUGUCGUCUCUACAAGUUGUUUUUCUAGUUUUUGGAAACUUCUUCUUAUGGAGACAAGUGCGACUUACUCUUGGUGGAUUCGUUCUCUUUUUAGGGACUUCAUUGUUGCUGGCGACUUGGUCGUGGGUACCAAGGAAUUCCUACGGAGGGAAUGUUUACGGUUGUAUAUCAAUAGUGAAUGAUGACGGUUGUAUUAAUUUUAGACGUUGA